GAGAGUCCACACACCUGUACCCCUGAAACAAAUAAUACAUUAUAUGUUAAUUUAAAAAAAAAAACAUUGAAAGUUAUCCAGCUGAUAGGAGGAAGUGCCAGUAUAUGAAUCCAAGCAGCAAAGGUCCAGCCCAGCAAUGUGACCACUAGCCAUAAUGCCCAGUGGAUAAGUAGUGAUUGGUAGUGCCUCUCGGACAUGUAGAAAUCCAGGGCAUUGGCCUGGGAUAAAGUGUAAAUGGGACAAGAAAGAUUAGUGACACAAAGAUGAAGGAGGCAUACAAGAUCUGAGAGAUGAACUGUGUGGUAUUGCUCAUCACAUACCAGGCAUUGAAAGGGUCCAACAUGUGACCAUCCACAGAACCGUCAGAGGGACAAACCUUAGUGACAGGUGUCAAAAAGGUUGCAGCUCCUGGACCAAAUUCACAUCAACAGCUCCAGUCUUGCUUCUCUUCUCUCCCCCUGUGGAUUAACACCCCAAGUCCAUCCCUCUGCUGGUUGCUGGACAAAGCCUACAACAACUCUCCUGCCCUCUAGAUCUUUGUGAAAUUCUUACCCCCCAACCCCAACUCUGGAAGAGUUCAACCCCAAGCCUACUCUGAGUUUGUAAAUGAGCCGCCAGGCUCUAGUGGAAAAGACACCCAUCUGGGCCAAUGGCAAUGUCCUUGGUGCUGGCCCACUAUCAGGCAGGCUGUCUGUUUCUGCUGUCUUCCUUUCCUUACCCACAGUUUGGAACUAAUUUUACUUUAUUUGGUUUUGCUGUUUCUCCAGAGUUCUAUUUGCGGCCUAUGAAGCCAUCUCUAACAGUUGGAGCCACUGCGAUACUCCAGGUAUGUUAGUCAGUGUUAUCCAGACACACAGAAUGAACAGGAGGUAUAUAUCUACAUCUAGAUUUAGAUAGAUAAAUAUACAGAAAUUAUAUUAGGAGGAAUUUGGUUCACACAUUUAUGGAGGCUGAGAAGUCCCAUGAUCUAUCUGCAAGUUAGAACCCCAGAAAAGCCAGUGGUAUAAUUCAGUCUGAGUUUGAAGGCCUAAGAACUGGGGGAAGCAUGAUAUGAUUCCCAGCCUAAGGGCAGGAGAAAAUGAGAUGAGAUGUUCUACCUCAAGUGGUGAAGCAGGAGAAAAGGGGACAAUCCUUCCUUCCUCUGCCUUGUGUUAUAUUUAGACCUUCAGUGGAUUGGAUAAUGCACACCCCACAUCGAGGAAGGUCAUCUACUUUCCUGAUUCACCAGUUAAAAUGCAAAUCUCUCUCAUUCAGAAACACCCUCACAGAUCCAGCCAGAAAUAACCUAGAAUCUGGGCAUCUCAUGGCCAGUCAAGUUGACCCAGGAAAUUAAUCAUCAUGGUGAGUAGGGAAACAUCAUACACUAUCACAUAACAUUGUUCACAAAAUAAAGCCUCACAACUCCUCCCAGACCCUGGAGAAUAGGGAAAGGAUAGUGCUAGCAAGAGAGCAUCCUUCCCGGGAGCAGUGUGCACUGUGAGUGUGAAGUCUGACUAACGUGACCCAGUGGUUAUGGGGUCCACCUGCCACGAUAGAGUGAAGGGAGUUGAACAUUCAAGGUCAUCAACCCCAGGGGAGUUGCACCUCCCAGCUUGUACAAGAGCAACUACAAGAAUUACUCAGCAGAUGGCCUCCUGAAAGGAAGUGGACCUCCAGUGUCACCUUGAAUAAUUGUGAAACUUAGUGACCUUCACACCAGAGAUAUGAAGUUUCAUCCUACGGCAACAAAAGAAAUAGCUUUUCUUGGGAUUUGAGGAGGGAACAUGAAAUCAAAGAAGGAAUUGGAGAAUUGAGUUAUGUAUGCCUUGGCCUCAAAGAGAUGGCAAGAUUUCUACAGAGAGAAAGGGUGCAAAGGAUAUGAAAAUCCUGAAAAAGGUGGUUGGAAGUUGUUUGAAUUUAUGGCUGGGAUGAAUCCUGGGAGGCUCCUGCGAGGUAUCUUUUUGUCAGUUUUCCCUGGACUUUCCCCAGAUUUCUGCAGCCUUAACUGACUUCACCAAAUUUCCAGGUGCAAACCUUGGGUCCUUCACACUGUGCCCAACCCAGUAGUGUCUGAUCCCAUAGUCUACAUGAUUCCCCUGCUUCUCUGCUCUGAUCUUUCCUCAUGUGCAUAUAUAAUAGCCAGAAAGAACUGACAUUGAUCUCUAGGGACGGAAGGGGUAAAGCAUGGAAGGCUUCCUGGAGGAGGAUGCAACUGAGCUGGACGGGGAUGAACUCUGUUAGCAAGAUUUCCAAAGUCUGAGAUGACUAGAACCAAAGGAAAAGGCAUGUGUAAAGGACUAACUGGGGGAGUUGGGCAUUGAGGGAAGGACAUAGGUGUAGAAAGACAACAAUAUGAGCAAAGAUUUUAGUAAUUUAGCAGGACCUGGAAAUAUGGCAGUUUCUCCCCAUAGACCUGAAGAGAGUGGACAGUCUGCCUGUCAAUCAUUGUAGCCCCUCCAAUGAUGACGUUUGAGGGUGGGACCAUACAUAGAAAGGAGGUUAAAGAAGCCCUACCACGUGACCAGGCAAGUUUCCUUUAAAAUUUGGAUUGUACCUUGCGGCUUCCGUGGACCGUUCCACUAAGGGAUUAUGGCAAAUGGCGGUUACUUUUUCGACGAUCUCAAAAAAUGCUGCAUGAUUGGGUACUGUGGCCCCACCAACCACUUUCAGAAAUUCCCCUGGAUAAGGGAAAGAGGAAGUUUGUCCCAUCCACUCAUCUUAUGAGUUUCCAAGUUACCUAAUUUUCCUGCAGUGGUGCUAAGCUGACCUGCCACAGGUAAGUCUUUUGUAGAUUUGUACAAUCACUAACUCCUUCAGGAUCUGUGAUGGAGAAAUCCAGUUCUGGUCAGCCUACAGGCCUGUAAUGAGAGGAGAGGACCUAGACCCAGUUGUCAAGACCAGCCAUAAGGUAAGUGCAACCUUAUACUGUGUGAGGCUACAGGUGUUGGCUGGAGAAUAGCACCUGUCUCCUCUGUCAGUUGUCUCAUUAUUUAGGAUGGUUUUAUUGUCUCAUUAUUUAAGAUGGUGUUGUUGUCUCAUUAUUUAAGAUGGUGUUGUUGUCUCAUUAUUUAAGAUGGUGUUGUUGUCUCAUUAUUUAAGAUGGUGUUGAAAUCCCUCCCCUGUCUCUAAUUUGGAACUUCCAGCAAUGGCAGGGUCACUGCCUGGGUACUACUGAUUAACUCUGUGGUAGAGACUCUGUGUCUCUGAUUUAUUUAACUGGUCAGUGGCAUCUUUUCCAGUCCUUACUUGUGUUUCUCUGUUUACUGUUGAAUGCCACUCUUACAGACACGUUGGCUUUAUUAGAAUGUCAGAUUUCAAACAAACCUGAUCUCGAUGUUAUCACAUCGCAGUUUUGAUCUGUCUUUUUAUCCUUUUGGAAGACUUGUAAUACCAUGUAGAUGCAGGAGGGAUUGGAUGGGCUUGUCCAAAACACGCUUUGGGAACCUAGAGAUUGUGGGAGCACUGCUCAGGUGUUUUGUUUUGUUUUGUUCCAGGUACAAGUGUAACUUUUUAUCAUGGAUCUGAAUGCAGUUAAAUCCAGCUCCAUUUAGGAAAGGGGAAAAGAUGAGAUCUGUACCCCAGGGCCAGCAGAUAUCCUCAGAGAGUAUUGGGCAUCUCUUUGGAAAUCAACCUCUUUAAUUCUGCUACGAUGCCAGGAGGUUGCCCAGCAACGCACACUUUGCCUUGCUCUGAGCUGCAGUCUUUUGUGGCUCACUUGAACAGCUUACACUGAAGCUGACGUGUGUCAGCAUCAAGUUGGGGCCACAGGGGGUUUGUUAACUGGCAGUGCCAAAAAGUUAUCCUCUCUUUGUUUCCCUGUGUAAAGUUACUUCUUUUCUGGGCACUGGUUAAUUUGUUGAAAAUCAGGUGAAAGCUUUUGACAGUGGGUCAGGAGAGCUUUGAGUGUAAAUAUGAAUUACUCGAGGGUGCAUUCAAAGACACUUCUGACCUUCAGUUUUAUAGACCCCUCUGCCCUCGGUUGCUUUAUUAGCACUGGUUUAAUCCAGAAGGUGGCAUCACAGAAUCUGAUGGGAACUCACCAAAGAUUUAAAAAACAAACAAAAAAAAACCAACAAAAAAAACCACGCCAUUUCUUUGUGAUCAGACACUAAAGUAUGUAGCCCUUUUACAACAUAGUGACAUUUUGAAGACUUCUCUAUCCCUACAAUUGGUUAAAUUACUUUAAAUCUGUGGAAGGUAAAAACCUGAGGUCUGAGGUACUUUGCAAAACCUGUACCCAAACCCAUGUUCCUUCCCCAGGUGGUGUGACAGUGACCAAGACUGGCUUAUCUGCUUGUCAAAAGCAGCUGUUCGAUUGAACAACUGUGAUGCCUCCUUCCCCUUCCACACACCCUUGUGCCCAAUGCCUGUCAAAAUCAUCUUGGGUCAUUUCAUUGAAGGGAAGGGCUGGGGAAGGUCUAAAUGAAUGGUUUAUGGGUAAAUCUGCUGUGUACUGGUACUUAAAAAUACGUCACUUAAAAAUAAUUCCAAAAGGGUGACUCUCUAAGUGGUGGCAUUCUCAAAGUCAGGACUCUCAGGGGUAAGAGAAGGUGACCCUCCUCAGAAUUUAAGGUGGGACCUGGCUUGGUGGUUCUUCCCCAGGAGGCUGUUCCUGGGCCAGCCAUAUUGACUGCCUCGUGAGGCCUGUACUCAGUGAAUGUCCCCCCUGUAGUGGGAAUGUCCAUGUGCUUUUAGUUCAUGGUGUGAAGUAUUCCAUGUCAAACCUGUGUUUGCCUUAAGUGCUUCUUUAUUCUACUGAUUUACGUGGGCGAUGGAAAGAGGAUGGAUAUUGAAUGCUUUAAGGCAAGGCCUUUGAAAUGGAGUGUCUUCCUUGUUGCAUGUAAACUCUUGGAUGGCCAAUAAUAUUUCAUUGUAGAUAUAUACCACAUUUUUUUUAUCCAUCGAUCUUGUUGAUGAAUGCUUGGGUUGCUUCCAUGUCUUAGCUGGUGUGGAUGCUGCUGAACACUGGGGUUUGGAUAAGCCUUUGGGAUAGUGGCUUCUUUUCCUUUAUAUAAAUAUGCAGACAUGGGAUGGCUGGAUUGGAUAGUAGUUCUAUUUCUAAUUGUUGAGCAGCUGCAAUGCUGUUUUCCAGAGUGGCCCUUCCAGCUGAUGUGGGUGAACACAUCUUGAACUAAAUGGAUUUCAGGGUUGGUUCUCCAGCCCCUUCUGAUUGUCUGUUCUUUUAAGGAGAGGAACUAGAGAGGUUCGAGGCUUCACGGGGGCUCAAAGGGUAUUUAUGAUCAGGAGAGAUGGAAUGACUGAUUAAUAGGGUCCUUCCUUCAGGAGAUGGGGAGAGGGCUGGGCAGAGUGGCCUUCCCUUUGUAGACCUGCCCUCAGAGUAUGGGGAGAAAGCAGGCAGGAGGAGCUCUGGGUCCCUGUAUUGGACUUUUGUGUGUCCAAGGGUAUCUUCCGCCUACUUCCCUGUCAUUGGCUCUACUUAGGAUCAGCAUAGCUGGAGGACAAAAGGCCGAUGAUGCACAUUAUUGAAUGUGACAUGAGCACAUAGGACCCUCUGACAAAGGUGAAAUCCUUAUGAUGGGGUCUGUUCUUUAUUUUCCCAGCUUCCCUGAGAAUUUGGGACUUUGCUCCUGGGGACGGCUUUGUUGUUUCUGCCUCUCUGUGCGCUGCCUUAGCCUGUGAAAUGUGGCCCAAAGAAUGGCGGUCCUUCUCCCCCCCCCCCACCCCGUACCGUUUUCUAGUCCGAGGGAGCCUUCCUAGAGGUGAUAAUUGUUGUUUCUGGCAACUAAUCUGACGUGGCUGGGUUGACCGCUCAGUCUUGCAUGUUGAUAGUGACCUGUGUUCUCCCGGAGAGCUUGAUGAAGGUGAACUGCUGCUGCUGGCAUGUUCUUUAAUGCACUGGCCAGACAAUUCUUCCCUUGACAUUCCCAUGGCUCAAGUGACUUGUUAAAUUCCUACAGAAAAUGCAUACUGGCUGGCAAUGGCAGUGUGUGGGGCAUGGGACAGAUUGGGUCCCAGGGAAGAAACUGGCUGUGGCUGAUGGUCAGACUUCUGUGCUCUGACACAAAGAUAUUGGAUGGAGUAAUGUCCACCGUGCAGAGCCGUGGCAUAUGUGGCAUCUUUGGAAUCCCAAUUUUGUGUUUGGGACUGCGGUUGGAAUUCCAAGCAUUUCCCUAUUAACUUCCUUCACUCUUCUGCUGAGUGUACUCUGCACAUCGGUGGGAGGAGAAGCAGCGCGUGGACGCUGUCAAUGAACUGUACGUGAGUCAGGGGACAUUUUGAUCCUCAUGGGCUUGUGCACGUGAACUUGGAUGUCUGGGAACCUCCUGGGUCAGGUCUCCAGUUAGAGGAUUAAGCCCUCCUGUUUCUUUUGCCCAGAAGGGCGUAUACCCACAGGCUGCUGGCAUCCCUUCCCUUAUUUAUCUGCUACAAGUAGCCGCUUGGUCAUCCGACCCCUCUGCCAUUUUGGGGUUCUCCUGGGAGGCGAUGACUUUGCCUCCAGGGGAUCUUGCCUGUUAUAGACACCGCAGUGUUGUGCUGAAGCUACCAGAGGGGUGAGAGGAUAAAGGGGAGUUGCAGUUUGAGGAGGGAGGGGUGUUACGGUUUCCCCAUUUCAAGUUCUUGCUUUCUCUUGAUAGAGAAAUCUCGGGCUCAGCAGGGAUGUGAGUACACUCUGAGAGUAUGAGGAAACUUGACAGCACGAGGACAAGGGACUUGGGGUGAAAGUGGUGGGCCUUGUGAGCUCAGGGGUGGGUUUCCUGCCUUUUUCCAUUUCCCCACACGACCUCUGGGGCGGCAUAACUGGGGCACAGAAGACAUUGGACGUUGCCGGAGAUGGUCUGAGAAACUACGACUGUCUCGUUGAAUGGAGACAUUCGUUAGGAUGAGAGGGGGGUCAUUUUCCAAUUUACCAAGAAUGGAUUUAUAGGCGCAUGGCCGUUAUGCUGUCUCAUUUUAAUUCUGUUACCGUAGGCCUAUGGACAAAGGCCUCGGGAGAGAGUUAGCCCCUCACUCUGCUGUCUCUUUGCAGGUCUCAAUGACCUGAGGCCCUUCGGAGGAGGAACUACUGUUGCUCAUGCUGGUUUUGUUCCCAGGAGAGUCUUUGUAGGCCCUCGGACAUGGUCUUUGGUGGUCAGGCCCCUCUGCACUUCUCGGGAGGGUGUAGCUGAGCCUUCUGUUUCGGCAGCUGAAGUCGUCCCCUUUCCCCUUGUUCUCGGGCCCUGCAGGGUCCCCGGGGACCCAUUCCUGGACUGCACAAUUGUCCAGAGGCUUGUCUGGCUUUUGAAAAAGAUUUGCCUCCUGUGCAGGGAGACUGGGACCCACAUUCAGAAGUUUUCUGAAGUCAGUGUUCUCAGAAAAAGGAAGGGGAGGUCCUUCGCCUCCUUUGAACAGGGGUCACUUAACUUUUAGUUCUUAUUUUAUUUGCCCUUAUGACACGCUAGCAGGAGAUACCAGGUCCCCUUGGGAUCUGCACCCUCCCCUGACUGGUGAGUCCCCAGCGCUGGCCACAGUUAUCGAGGCCUGCACUGAGAACUCCCUCUAGAGCUCUUGGUGCCAACAGCACCCAAGGGACAGUUCCUCAGUCCGAACAGGGCUUCUCCUUCUGCGGCUUUUACCCCUGCCUGUGUUCUCAUGAGAAGCUCUCGCUGGGCCACAGAGCCCACUGCAGUGAGGUUUGAAACUACAAACCUUGUUUAGGGACGGUUCAGGUUGAUAUGCUGAUGUCAGCCAUCCACUGACCAGUUGAACUGUGCUAUUCCUCUCACACCCUCCCUUUCCUGAGGGCCCUGGAGCGGCAGAGGGGCGAUCUGUCUCCUUUGUGAGACGCAGGACUGGACAGAAUACUUGGAGGGGAGGCUUUGGACGCUGCUUUAUGGAGCCUUAGUGUGGAGGCCUCUCCGAAUGGGUGGGAAUCAGCCAUUGGCCAUGGCUGAUGGUCAGACUUCUGUGCUCUGACACAAAGAUAUUGAAUGGAGUAAUGUCCACCGUGCAGAGCCGUAGCAUAUGUGGGAUCUUUGGAAUCCCAAUUUUGUGUUUGGGACUGCGGUUGGAAUUCCAAGCAUUUCCCUAUUAACUUCCUUUGCUCUUCUGCUGAGUAUACUCUGCACGUCGGUGGGAGGAGAAGCAGCGCGUGGACGCUGUCAAUGAACUGUACGUGAGUCAGGGGACAUUUUGAUCCUCGUGGGCUUGUGCACGUGGCUGUAACCCUGGGUGGCUCAGUGGGUUAAAGCCUCUGCCUUGGGCUCGGGUCCUGGUCCCCGGGUCCUGG